rnacentral:rRNA from 1 species
CGGUGGAGUAUGUGGUUUAAUUCGACGCAACGCGCAGAACCUUACCUUGGUCUUGACAUCCCGGGAAUUCCUUGAAAGAGGGAAGUGCCUCGCAAGAGGAGCCUGGAGACAGGUGCUGCAUGGCUGUCGUCAGCUCGUGCCGUGAGGUGUUUGGAUUAAGUUCCGCAACGAGUGCAACCCUCGCUGUUAGUUGCCAGCAUUAAGUUGGGCACUCUAGCGGUACUGCCGGCGUCAAGCCGGAGGAAGGUGGGGACGACGUCAAGUCAUCAUGCCCCUUACGUCCAGGGCUACACACGUGCUACAAUGGCAGGUACAACGGGUUGCCACCUAGCAAUAGGGAGCGAAUCCCUUAAAGCCUGUCUCAGUCCGGAUUGGAGGCUGCAACUCGACUCCAUGAAGUUGGAAUCGCUAGUAAUCGCAGAUCAGCACGCUGCGGUGAAUACGUUCCCGGGCCUU